GUUGUCUGGAGAUGGUGGCAGUCCAACUCAAGUGUCAUCUAGGGAUGGUGUCUGUGAUGAAAAUGAAAUACUUAAAGUUAUGGAAUUUCUUGGAUUGCCGAGGGUCGAUGCCAUCCAUCUUCUGGCACAGUACAAUGGAAAUGCUGAGACUGUCAUCCAGGAAAUAUUUGCAUAGCUUAGGAUCUAAACCCAUACCAAAG
rnacentral:misc_RNA from 1 species